rnacentral:rRNA from 1 species
AGAGUUUGAUCCUGGCUCAGGAUGAACGCUAGCGGCAGGCUUAACACAUGCAAGUCGAGGGGUAACAGGAUUUAGUUUACUAGAUUGCUGACGACCGGCGCACGGGUGAGUAACGCGUAUACAAUUUGCCUUUUACUGGAGGAUAGCCAAGAGAAAUUUUGAUUAAUACUCCAUAGCAUUAUUUGGUCACCUGAUCGAGUAAUUAAAGUUCCGGCGGUAAAAGAUGAGUAUGCGUCCUAUUAGCUAGAUGGUAAGGUAACGGCUUACCAUGGCGACGAUAGGUAGGGGUCCUGAGAGGGAGAUCCCCCACACUGGUACUGAGACACGGACCAGACUCCUACGGGAGGCAGCAGUGAGGAAUAUUGGGCAAUGGAGGCAACUCUGACCCAGCCAUGCCGCGUGCAGGAAGACUGCCCUAUGGGUUGUAAACUGCUUUUAUACAGGAAGAAACUUAUCCACGUGUGGAUAACUGACGGUACUGUAAGAAUAAGGACCGGCUAACUCCGUGCCAGCAGCCGCGGUAAUACGGAGGGUCCAAGCGUUAUCCGGAAUCAUUGGGUUUAAAGGGUCCGUAGGCGGGCAAUUAAGUCAGAGGUGAAAUCCCACAGCUCAACUGUGGAACUGCCUUUGAUACUGGUUGUCUUGAGUUACAGUGAAGUAGAUAGAAUAUGUAGUGUAGCGGUGAAAUGCAUAGAUAUUACAUAGAAUACCGAUUGCGAAGGCAGUCUACUAACUGUACACUGACGCUAAUGGACGAAAGCGUGGGGGAGCGAACAGGAUUAGAUACCCUGGUAGUCCACGCCGUAAACGAUGGUCACUAGUUGUUGGGGUCUUGUACCUCAGUGAUUAAGAGAAAUUGAUAAGUGACCCACCUGGGGAGUACGAUCGC